rnacentral:rRNA from 1 species
UACGUAGGUGGCGAGCGUUGUCCGGAUUUACUGGGCGUAAAGGGCGUGCAGGCGGUUUGUUAAGUGCAGGGUGAAAGCUCCCGGCUCAACUGGGAGAGGUCCUUGCAUACUGGCGAACUCGAGGGAGGCAGAGGAAAGUGGAAUUCCCGGUGUAGUGGUGAUAUGCGUAGAUAUCUGGAGGAACACCGGUGGCGAAGGCGGCGUCCUGGACCAACACUGACACUGAUGAGCGAAAGCCAGGGGAGCAAACGGG